rnacentral:lncRNA from 1 species
GUGCAGCAGGUCAGAGGCCUCACUGAAGCUGUGCAGGCCAUGCAACAGCAGCAGCAGCCGCAGGCAUCAGUGCGACUGGAAAGAGCGUCACCGGAACCCCAAAAUCUGAUGGUGGGAUGGGCCACUUGGGCCAGCCGCCCCGUCUUUCUCGGAAAGACGAAUCCAAAGGUGGAGAGACCUCAAUCAGACUAUGAUUCCACCCCUGGAAGAUCUUUAC